rnacentral:rRNA from 1 species
CCUACGGGAGGCAGCAGUGAGGAAUAUUGGUCAAUGGGCGCGAGCCUGAACCAGCCAAGUAGCGUGAAGGAUGACUGCCCUACGGGUUGUAAACUUCUUUUAUAAAGGAAUAAAGCGAGGCACGUGUGCCUUUUUGCAUGUACUUUAUGAAUAAGGAUCGGCUAACUCCGUGCCAGCAGCCGCGGUAAUACGGAGGAUCCGAGCGUUAUCCGGAUUUAUUGGGUUUAAAGGGAGCGUAGGUGGAUUGUUAAGUCAGUUGUGAAAGUUUGCGGCUCAACCGUAAAAUUGCAGUUGAAACUGGCAGUCUUGAGUACAGUAGAGGUGGGCGGAAUUCGUGGUGUAGCGGUGAAAUGCUUAGAUAUCACGAAGAACUCCGAUUGCGAAGGCAGCUUACUAAACUGCAACUGACACUGAGGCUCGAAAGUGUGGGUAUCAAACAGGAUUAGAUACCCUUGUAGUC